rnacentral:tRNA from 2 species
UCCGGAGUAGCUCAACGGUAGAGCAGCGCGCUGUUAACGCGACGGUUCCCGGUUCGAAUCCGGGCUCCGGAGCCA